CGAAAGCCUGACGGAGCAAGACCGCGUGAGGGAGGAAGGCUCUUGGGUUGUAAACCUCUUUUCUCAGGGAAGAAGCUCUGACGGUACCUGAGGAAUCAGCCUCGGCUAACUCCGUGCCAGCAGCCGCGGUAAUACGGAGGAGGCAAGCGUUAUCCGGAAUUAUUGGGCGUAAAGCGUCCGCAGGCGGCUUAUCAAGUCUGCUGUUAAAGGUCGGGGCUCAACUCCGGUUCGGCAGUGGAAACUGAGAAGCUAGAGUGCAGUAGGGGUAGAGGGAAUUCCCGGUGUAGCGGUGAAAUGCGUAGAGAUCGGGAAGAACAUCGGUGGCGAAAGCGCUCUACUGGACGGCAACUGACACUCAGGGACGAAAGCUAGGGGAGCG
rnacentral:rRNA from 1 species